GGGUAGAUGCUCGCGAACUCCGUAUGCGAAAAGUCGAGGUGAGAGCUCACUGAAAUGUAGGUAGUGUUCGUGAUGU
rnacentral:ribozyme from 1 species